rnacentral:lncRNA from 1 species
UCCCUUGAGGCAACCCUCCCCCUCAUGUUUCUCCUGUUCUUCCUUGUUUGUAGUUCCAGAGGCGCUUGGCGAAGCCCGGCUGGGAUUGCUCCACCACCAUCUCCACCAUGUUGUAGUAUUGGUCGAGAUCCCAUCUACUUCUCCGCCAACACUUGUGGGAUCAAGGAGGUGGAGAUGUCAUGGACUCACACAUGUGUUGAACACGGAGGUGUCGUCCGUUCGGCGCUAGAUCGGGACGGAUCGCGAUUGGAUCGUGAAGACGUACAACUACAUCAACCGCAUUAUAUACGCUUCCGCUUAGUGAUCUACAAGGGUAUGUAGAUACACUCCCCCUCGCAUAGAUGUUAAUCUCCAUAGAUUGAUCUUUGUGAGCAUAGGAAACUUUUUUGUUUCCUAUGCGACGUUCCCCAACAGUGGCA